rnacentral:rRNA from 1 species
AUGGUAUGUGAGACUUCACAGCCUUCACUUGAGGUGCACACUGAAACUAAGAAUCCUGCUGAAGCUGACAUUUCCGCUUGUUUCAGGUACAUCCGCUGCUCUGAUAACAGCGAAACCGGUGGUGCCGUCGUACCUUCCCGUCCCUCCGACCACCGCGACAUGACACUCCUCCUGGCCAUCACGGUGGACUCCGAAGAACCUGAUGCUAUCCUGCGUGCCAGCGCCGGUGAACAGGGCCUUCACUGCCACCAUACGGCUGCUGUUAUCAUCCAAGCUGGUGACAAGAACGCCCUGCAGCUUCCCAGCCAAGGGCAGCCCAAACUCUCUCUUGCCGUGGAAUUGCUCAUCGACGACGGUCACCGUGCCGGGGCGGAGCGCCCCAGGCCGCGUCAAGGCGCGCAGCCAGCUGCCGGGGUGGCCGAUCGGGCCUUGGCUGGUGAAGGCAGGGUGUUUCGAGGAAGGGGUGCCGCCGGCAUUUGGUGGCGCGCCUCCGUUGGUGUAGAGCGUUAUGGUCUGGCCGGAGCCGUGGGGAGUGGGCGGGGGGCUGUGGCCUGCCGGGCGGCGGCCCGACGCGGUGUUUACCGUGAUUAG